UACAGAGGGUGCAAGCGUUGUUCGGAAUUAUUGGGCGUAAAGCGCGUGUAGGCGGCGUGAUAAGUCGGGUGUGAAAGCCCUCAGCUCAACUGAGGAAGUGCGCCCGAAACUGUUAUGCUUGAGUGCCAGAGAGGAUGGCGGAAUUCCCGAAGUAGAGGUGAAAUUCGUAGAUAUCGGGAGGAACACCGGUGGCGAAGGCGGCCAUCUGGCUGGUAACUGACGCUGAGACGCGAAAGCGUGGGUAGCAAACAGG
rnacentral:rRNA from 1 species